UACAUGGGGUGCAAACGUUGCUCGGAAUUAUUGGGCGCAAAGCGCACGUAGGCGGUUCGUUAAGUCGGAUGUGAAAGCCCUCGGCUCAACUGAGGAAGUGCACCCGAAACUGGCGAGCUUGAGUACGAAAGAGGAUCGCGGAAUUCCCGGUGUAGAGGUGAAAUUCGUAGAUAUCGGGAGGAACACCGGUGGCGAAGGCGGCGAUCUGGGUAGAUACUGACGCUGAGGUGCGAAAGCGUGGGGAGCAAACAGG
rnacentral:rRNA from 1 species